AUGCAUUUAGUUGCUACAGGUCUGAGGAGACAGCAUACAGCAUGGGGAAGAGCAAAACAAGAGCUGCAGCACUGCAGAAGACAUGGAAAGGCAUUAGACUAGAUGGAGCUGACCCACUUGCAAUCAUGCAUGAAAAGAAUCCAUAAGUACUUUACGAGGGGACAAAGAGUAAUUGUGGUGUCUGGAAGGGAAAUGUGGCACUGAGUUAAAAAUGCAGCUUAAAGAAAUCAAGCAGAGUAAUUUUGCUGUUUCAGGCUUUUCCUUAGGGUUGAAUAGUGAUGGACAGAGUUUGAAUUUAAUGCAGUGUCAGGAACAACAACUGGAAAUGCCAACUACAGAAGAGAGAGAGACAAGUUCUCCCACAUCUUAGAAUGUCCUGUGAUAGCAGAAGAAGUGAUAAAAAACCAAGAGACACAUGAGAAACUAAGCCAGUGGCUUGAAAGGAAGAUGCCAGGAGUGAGUUGACAAAGACUUUCUGCAUACCCUGCUGCUCUGCCUGGAAGGUUGUCAUAUGGGUUAAGAUUUGCAGUAGCUUGAGUUUCCAAAAAAAGCCUGUAGGAAACAUAUGCCCACUACCCACUGAAGCAUGAGAGCACCUAGCAGCAGCUAAAGCCUCCAUGGAGGACUGGGAAGAC